GUUGUUGCAGGAGACUCCACAGAACUCCCCACCCACUUCUGUCAUAUGAGGACACAAAAAGAAGUUUGCCACCCAGAAGAGGGAAGAAGACUCUCACCCAACAUGCUAGUGCUUUAAUCUCAGACUUCCAGCCUCCAGAACUCAGUCAGAAUCUGCAUGAAGCCAAUACUCCUGUCUGCUCUCCUGAUUGUGCCUGGAUUACCAAGUCAGGUGUUAAUUGUUUGAAGAGUGGACAGGAGGAGAAACAGAACAAGGGGGUGCACUCAGCUCCCUGCCAGAGGCAGCCUCCGGACAGCCCGGAGUCCAGGAAGCACAUCCAGCUUCUAUCAGCGUCACCUAUUGGAAAGAACAAGGUUCUGGAAUCCUGGGAAAUGAGCUCUGCUGAGAAGUCACUGUGUGACUUUGGGCAGAUCACCGUACUCUCUGAACUCUGCUCUGCUCUCACUAAGGGGCUGGACCAGGAAGUCCCUAAAGAAGUGUGUUAUGGGGACGCCUGGGUGGCUCAGUUGGUUAAGCAGCUGCCUUCGACUCAGGUCAUGAUCCCAGCGUCCUGGGAUUGAAUCCCGCAUCGGGCUCCUUGCUCGGCGGGGAGCCUGCUUCUCCCUCUGCCUCUGCCUGCCAUUCUGCCUGCCUGUGCUCGCUCUCUCCCCCUCUCUCCCUCUGAUAAAUAAAUAAAAUCUUUAAAAAAAAAAAAAAAAAGAAGUGUGUUAUGUAAGAGAGCACACUCUAGACAGGCAGACAUGGCUUUGGAUCUCAGAUCCUGUGGCCUGCUAGCUGUAUGAACCAGAUGCCUCAGUUUCCCCAUCUAUAAAGCAAGGUUAUGAGAUACAACCUAGCUAAGGUGGUUAUCCUGAGGCUUAAAUGAAAUGAAUUACAUAAGAGAUUUAACAGUGUGCCUGGUUUAUAGUAUUUAAGAGAAGGACAUUGUUAUCUUAUUAAAAUUAUCAUCAUCAUUAGUAUUGUUACUCUCAAACUCUUGGGAUCUUAACUUGAAGGCAAUCUCAGUGGGGGGUGUGUUUUGAAUGGUCACCUUCUCCCAGGGGACCCACAGCAUUACCCAGAAGAAAGGGUGUCCAUCCCAUCUGGCACACAACCUGAGCCUCAGAAGGGGAACCAUGCCCUCCUACGUCCUUCCCCUGGAGUCUCGUGUUUUUCUCUGUGCCCUGCCCUGUCUGGCCCAGUUCUGAGAGCUGGAGCAUCUGCACUUUGGGUCCACACUGGUCAGGCAGCCAGGAGGGAGAGGAAACCAGAAUAAACAUGUUUUGCAAGAGCAGGGCUAGUUUAAGUGAAAGCAAUUCUAAAUAAGGACAAUACAAAGCCUUGGCUGCCUGUUGGCAGCUUCCUCAGCACAGGGGUUUGCCAUGGAAAACCAAAGGUCAGACUGAUAAGCUGGGGGUGUCUGCAGGCAGGCUGGCAGGAAGCUUAUGACAGGACCCCCUCACCCAGUAUUUGAACCCAUCAUAGACAAGGAGAUGUGGCCACAAGGGCAGGGACUUCAAAGGCCCAACAUGAACUCCAAACUCAGCUCUUCUGUUAUGUCUUUUGAGCUUGCAAAACCUCAGAUUCCUUAUCUGUAUUUAAAACAAGAAAGAAAGAAACAAGAAAGAAAGAAAGAAAGAAGAAAAAGGAAAAAAAAAGAAUGAAGUAUGCUCUGGGUUCCAUGAAAAACUUUAAAAGACUAUUAAGUCAAGGUGGUUAUAAAUUAUAAAAUGAUUUGCAAAACUUGGAGUUAGAACCACGUUUUAAUCUCACAUCCACUGUGGGCUAGCCAUUUGAUCCUGG
ensembl:lincRNA